GAGGGAGAGAGCAACGACACAAUGAAAAUAUCAUAAUAUAUAUAAUAUGAAUAUAUAUUCUUAGAACUUGGGCUCCGGUCUGGUUGUUCCCGUGCUGCUCGCCACAUUAUUAUUAAAAAGAUAUCUUGAACAUAAAUAUUUGUAAUAACCAAAGACUGGAGGCAGUGUGACAGAGGUUUUGGCAAAGGCAGUUGACCUGUUUUAUUCUCUGUAGCCGCAGGUAAAUAUGCCUGUCAGUAGGCAAAAAGAGGCACAAAAAAUAAUUUCUCAUGAUUACUAAUUAUACUUUCGGAGAUUGUCAAUAAGCAUAACUCAAAAAUAACCGUCUUCCACUCUGGCAUUUCCAUUCAGCCAUUGGCUUGUCCAAGAGCUAGGUGCUGCCACCAGCUCACCUCAGACCCAACUACCUCACAGACCUGUUUUGGCCCUGAAGAUAACCCUCAUGGCCUGACCCACUACACUUGUAAUUCAAUUAACAAUACAACUACACAUUCUUGAUUUAAAUAAAACCACACCUAAUUAACACAUUACUCAAAACAUGUUGGUCUAAAAGCAUCCUUAUACGUAACUUCUCUGACACCUUAAAUAUUCGGGUCCUCUCAUCCCACAAACUUGAUCCCUGCCCGUCUGACGUCACACCCACAACGCACAAAUGUUCUUCCGGACUUCACCUCGGGUCUUCCCCCAUCCUCUGGAACCCGGAAGCCAGCGCAACCGCAACGUGGCGUCAUGAAAGCGUUGGAACAUUGUGUUUGUGUGUGCGUUGGAAAGCUAUGUUUGUGUGUGCCAAUAAAAGGGUUAUUGUGAA